rnacentral:rRNA from 2 species
UGGGGAAUAUUGGGCAAUGGGGGGAACCCUGACCCAGCAACGCCGCGUGAAGGAAGAAGGUUUUCGGAUUGUAAACUUCUGUCCUUGGUGAAGAGGAAGAGACGGUAGCCAAGGAGGAAGCCCCGGCUAACUACGUGCCAGCAGCCGCGGUAACACGUAGGAGGCAAACGUUAUCCGGAUUUACUGGGCGUAAAGCGCGUGUAGGUGGUUCUGUAAGUAGGGCGUGAAAGCUCCCGGCUCAACUGGGAGAGGCCGUUCUAAACUGCAGAGCUAGAGGAUGGUAGAGGGAGGUGGAAUUCCAGGUGUAGCGGUGGAAUGCGCAGAUAUCUGGAGGAACACCAGUGGCGAAAGCGGCCUCCUGGACCAUUCCUGACACUCAGACGCGAAAGCUAGGGUAGCAAACGGG